rnacentral:piRNA from 1 species
UGCCAUCAAGCUCCUCAGAGAAGGGAUGGA